rnacentral:lncRNA from 1 species
AGGAACUUUGCCAAAUAAUAAGUGGAAAACAAACUAAAUGAGUUCACUCUGUCCAAACCCGCAUGCUUGAUGGACUAUGUACUGUUAUAUUCACAAAAGGCCCACAAGAGGCGGCGUAGGAAAUUCUCUAAAGAGUGACGACAUAAUAUAUCACAAAUUUCUCCUUCCUAGCUGCCAACUUAUAAGAAUGAGCGUUCAUCAUUCGAUUAUGGCGCUCAUUUU